rnacentral:rRNA from 1 species
GAUCUCGAAAACCUGUCCCAGUUCGGACUGGAGUCUGCAACCCGACUCCACGAAGUUGGAUUCGCUAGUAAUCGCGCAUCAGCCAUGGCGCGGUGAAUACGUUCCCGGGCCUUGUACACACCGCCCCGUCAAGCCAUGGGGAGCCGGGGGCGCCUGAAGUCCGGGACCGCGAGGACCGGCCUAGGGCGAAACUGGUAACUGGGGCUAAGUCGUAACAAGGUAAC